rnacentral:piRNA from 1 species
UGGAUUGUUAGUAGCUGGUCUGGGCCA